CGGGACACGUGGUAUCCUGUCUGAAUAUGGGGGGACCAUCCUCCAAGGCUAAAUACUCCUGACUGACCGAUAGUGAACCAGUACCGUGAGGGAAAGGCGAAAAGAACCCCGGCGAGGGGAGUGAAAAAGAACCUGAAACCGUGUACGUACAAGCAGUGGGAGCACGCUUAGGCGUGUGACUGCGUACCUUUUGUAUAAUGGGUCAGCGACUUAUAUUCUGUAGCAAGGUUAACCGAAUAGGGGAGCCGAAGGGAAACCGAGUCUUAACUGGGCGUUAAGUUGCAGGGUAUAGACCCGAAACCCGGUGAUCUAGCCAUGGGCAGGUUGAAGGUUGGGUAACACUAACUGGAGGACCGAACCGACUAAUGUUGAAAAAUUAGCGGAUGACUUGUGGCUGGGGGUGAAAGGCCAAUCAAACCGGGAGAUAGCUGGUUCUCCCCGAAAGCUAUUUAGGUAGCGCCUCGUGAAUUCAUCUCCGGGGGUAGAGCACUGUUUCGGCAAGGGGGUCAUCCCGACUUACCAACCCGAUGCAAACUGCGAAUACCGGAGAAUGUUAUCACGG
rnacentral:rRNA from 1 species